GACAGAGGGUGCAAACGUUGUUCGGAAUUAUUGGGCGUAAAGGGCGCGUAGGCGGCUUGGCAAGUGGAUGGUGAAAUCCCUCGGCUUAACCGAGGAACUGCCGUCCAAACUGCUUUGCUUGAGACCGGGAGAGGUGAGUGGAAUUCCCAGUGUAGCGGUGAAAUGCGUAGAUAUUGGGAGGAACACCAGUGGCGAAGGCGGCUCACUGGACCGGUACUGACGCUGAUGCGCGAAAGCGUGGGGAGCAAACGGG
rnacentral:rRNA from 1 species